ensembl:antisense Gm16192 predicted gene 16192
CAGAUACCAACCCCCCAAGUCUGUGUGAGGCUAUCAAAGACUUCCGUAGGGUUGUGUCUGGCUAACCUACCAUCGGAAAGAUUUGGUGGCAGAGGAGAGCGCCAGAGAGUUCCAAGGCAACCAUCCUGCAUCUGUAAACACAGACAAGCCUACAGCUGCCGGCACACAACUAAAGUACCCUCCUGCCCAACACAGGAGAUUACCGCUCCUUGUAACCAGUCAAGCCUCUCCUUAAAGAGGGCUUUAGUGCCCAAUUAUGUCUCCAUAGAAACCUGAGAAGCAUGAGCAAGUUCAUCAGCAUAUCUCCGACCUCCCCUCCCCGCGCGGUGCCGAGCAGACCUGUGCAGGACCAACCUGUGUGGAAAAUGACAGUGUUUUUCCUGAGCCCCGAAGGAAGCCGGAGGUUUCGAAGCAGUCCUUUGGCGGUUAGGCGGACGUGGAUGGUGGAUAAGGAGAAUUUGGGAGACAACAGCAUGUCUUCGAAGCCAGUGGGAGAACUUCGCAGGGGAAGCAGCUUUUCCAGGGACCAUCACAUACUGUGUCUCUUGGCAACUCGGGGCCAAGAGUUCCAGGCCAAGAGAUACAGCCAGAGAAAAACAAGCUUACAUGCUAAUGCCAGGCCACCCAGAUUGGGGGGUGCGUGGGGGGGGGGUAGCUAGAGUUAGCUAUCCCAGAGCUCCAGGCUUCCGUUUGCUCUCCCAGAUGUUGCAAACAAACAAUGCCCUUCGUCUGAGCAAGAUCUGUGAGGAGCAGCUCAGGAAGCAAGCAGCCUGAAUUACAUCACACUGUGCAUGCCGCGGGUUGUUGUGGUUCCCGACACGGAUGGAAAGGGGAGGAGAAAGUGGGUGGUCUCGGGAGCUUUAUGUAACAGCCAAUGAUGUCGCAGGUCCUGUCACUAUUUGGAACGGGGCGAAAUGAAAUAAACCACCUCACAUGCC